AACGAACGCUGGCGGCAGGCCUAAAACAUGCAAGUCGAACGAUGUAGCAAUACAUAGUGGCGCACGGGUGCGUAACGCGUGGGAACAUACCUCUAGGUGCGGAACAACGUCUGGAAACGGACGCUAAUACCGCAUAAUAUCUACGGAUCAAAGAUUUAUCGCCUAGAGAUUGGCCCGCGUCUGAUUAGCUAGUUGGUGAGGUAAUGGCUCACCAAGGCUACGAUCAGUAGCUGGUCUGAGAGGAUGAUCAGCCACACUGGGACUGAGACACGGCCCAGACUCCUACGGGAGGCAGCAGUUAGGAAUAUUGGACAAUGGGCGAAAGCCUGAUCCAGCCAUGCCGCGUGUGUGAAGAAGGCCUUAGGGUUGUAAAGCACUUUCGUCUGUGAAGAUAAUGACAGUAGCAGAAGAAGAAGCUCCGGCUAAAAUUCGUGCCGAGCAGCCGCGGUAAU
rnacentral:rRNA from 1 species